GAUGAACGCUAGCGGGAGGCCUAAUACAUGCAAGUCGAGCGGUAGAGUGACUUCGGUUGCUUGAGAGCGGCGAACGGGUGAGUAACGCGUACACAAUCUACCUUUAAGAGGGGAAUAGCCCCGGGAAACUGGGAUUAAUGCCCCAUGGCAUCAUUGACAUGGCAUCAUGUUAUGAUUAAAGCUGAGGUGCUUAGAGAUGAGUGUGCGUCUGAUUAGCUAGUUGGUGCGGUAACGGCGCACCAAGGCUACGAUCAGUAGGGGGCGUGAGAGCGUGGACCCCCACACGGGUACUGAGACACGGACCCGACUCCUACGGGAGGCAGCAGUAAGGAAUAUUGGUCAAUGGAGGAAACUCUGAACCAGCCAUCCCGCGUGCAGGAAGAAUGCCCUAUGGGUUGUAAACUGCUUUUAUCUGGGAAGAAAAGUCGGGAUUUAUCCUGAUCUGACG
rnacentral:rRNA from 1 species